GACGGGGGGUCCUAGCGUUGUUCGGAAUCAUUGGGCGUAAAGCGUGUGUAGGUGGCGCGCUAAGUCGGGUGUGAAAUUUCGGAGCUUAACUCCGAAACUGCAUUCGAUACUGGCGUGCUUCAGGACUGGAGAGGAGACUGGAAUUUACGGUGUAGCAGUGAAAUGCGUAGAUAUCGUAAGGAAGACCAGUGGCGAAGGCGGGUCUCUGGACAGUUCCUGACACUGAGACACGAAGGCCAGGGGAGCAAACGGG
rnacentral:rRNA from 1 species